rnacentral:rRNA from 1 species
ACUCCUACGGGAGGCAGCAGUGGGGAAUAUUGCACAAUGGGCGCAAGCCUGAUGCAGCCAUGCCGCGUGUGUGAAGAAGGCCUUGGGUUGUAAAGCACUUUCAGUGUGAGGAAGGUAGUGUAGUUAAUAGCUGCAUUAUUUGUACGUUAGCGACAGAAGAAGCACCGGCUAACUCCGUGCCAGCAGCCGCGGUAAUACGGAGGGUGCGAGCGUUAAUCGGAAUUACUGGGCGUAAAGCGCAUGCAGGUGGUUGUUAAGUCAGAUGUGAAAGCCCGGGGCUCAACCUCGGAAUAGCAUUUGAAACUGGCAGACUAGAGUACUGGUAGAGGGGGUAGAAUUUCAGGUGUAGCGGUGAAAUGCGUAGAGAUCUGAAGGAAUACCGGUGGCGAAGGCGGCCCCUGGACAGAUACUGACACUCAGAUGCGAAAGCGU